GCGGCCUCUACGAGCGCCUGGGCUUCCGGCGCGACCGCCGCUACGUGCUGCCCACGCUCUACGGCCGCCUGGCCAACUGCACCGUCACCGAGUACCGCUACGAGCUGCCCGCGCCGCGCUGAGCCGCCCCGGCGCUGCCGCCGUGCAAAGGGGGGCCAGCGGGGCGGCUCGGCGGCCUCCUCGCCCCGGGGGGUGUGGGGCAGGCCCCCAGCCCCACGGUGCUGGCCCGCGGCCCCGGAGAGCCGAGCCGAGCCUGCUCCUGCCGCGGGGACGGGGGGGUCGCGCCGGCCCGGUGCCUCGCUGCGGGGAGACGCCGGCGCCGUGUCUCAGGGAGGGCGUCUCGGGCGGGGGGUAGGGACCCUCGYGCCGGGGAGCCCUGGCGAACGCGGGGAGCCGUGCUCGCCCCGGAGGCCUCGCGCUCCUCCUCGGGGACGCCCCGGACUCUUGGCUUCGGCCCCCCGGCGCCGUGCUCCGCUGCUCCGGGGCUGCCGCGGCCCCGCRCGGGGGGGCACGUCCCCUCCGGCCCCUGCCCUCGUCUGCAGGUGCAGAAAUAAACGCCCGUCCGCAGCGCUGGCCCGGCUCGUUCUUCCCGUGCUGGUGGGGGGGGGAGCCGUGCACGGAGCAGCCUGCGAGGGAGCUGGCACGGGGCCGUGGAGCCGGCGGAGGGGACUAAAGCGAGUCCCAGCCCCCCUCGGCCGGCACUGCCGCCGCGGCACCCGGAGGCGGCAGCAAGCCCCGCGCAGCAGGCGCAGGGAGCCCGGAGCGGACGGAGCGACGCGGCAGCAGCGGCGGCGGCGGAGCACUUCCUUUGGCACGCUUCCCGUGCCGACGUCGCAGGCCGUGCUGCGGGUGCCGAGGCCCAGGCCGCUCCGGGCGCAGGCUGCCAGCAGCGCGGGGGCAAAGGACGGGCUCCAAGGUCCAGGGUGGCCGCCAGCCUCUCCCUGGCCUUGGCUCUGCCGCAUCCCGCGGCCACGGAGGCUCGUGCAGGGAGCUGGGACUGCCGCUGGCAGCGGGCACCGGUGAGUGCCGGGGCUCCCAGGACCCUACCGGGGGCUGCGGCGGGGUCGGGCACCCCCAGACCCUGCCCAGGACCCCGCAGCACCUCCCAGGCUUCCCUCCACCCCAGCGUGGUGCAGCCAUGAGAGGGGCAUUUCGGCACCCUGCACCCUGCUCCCUCCCCCCCAGCACCACCGUUCCCAGCCCAAACCAACUGCAGCACAUGCCGCAGCCCUGGGGAAAGAGGGUGAAACUGGGACGGAGCGGGUAAAAUUGCAGUGCAGUGGGUAAAAUUGCAACAGAGCGGGUAAAAUUGCAGUGCAGUGGGUAAAAUUGUAAUGCAGCAGGUAAAAUUGCAAAGCAGUGGGUAAAAUUGCAAUGGACCAGGUAAAAUUGCAGUGCAGUGAGUAACAUUGCAAUGGAGCGGGUGAAAUUGCAGUGCAGUGGGUAAAAUUGCAAUGCAUCAGGUAAAAUGCAACGGAGUGGGCAAAACUGCAACGGAGCGGGGAGGUGGCUUAAGGAAAGCCAAGGGC
rnacentral:lncRNA from 1 species